AGCGCAUACGGUGGAUGCCUUGGCAGUCAGAGGCGAUGAAAGACGUGGUAGCCUGCGAAAAGCUUCGGGGAGUCGGCAAACAGACUUUGAUCCGGAGAUCUCUGAAUGGGGGAACCCACCUAGGAUAACCUAGGUAUCUUGUACUGAAUCCAUAGGUGCAAGAGGCGAACCAGGGGAACUGAAACAUCUAAGUACCCUGAGGAAAAGAAAUCAACCGAGAUUCCCUUAGUAGUGGCGAGCGAACGGGGAUUAGCCCUUAAGCUUCAUUGAUUUUAGCGGAACGCUCUGGAAAGUGCGGCCAUAGUGGGUGAUAGCCCCGUACGCGAAAGGAUCUUUGAAGUGAAAUCGAGUAGGACGGAGCACGAGAAACUUUGUCUGAACAUGGGGGGACCAUCCUCCAAGGCUAAAUACUACUGACUGACCGAUAGUGAACCAGUACCGUGAGGGAAAGGCGAAAAGAACCCCGGAGAGGGGAGUGAAAUAGAACCUGAAACCGUAUGCGUACAAGCAGUGGGAGCCUACUUGUUAGGUGACUGCGUACCUUUUGUAUAAUGGGUCAGCGACUUAUAUUCAGUGGCAAGCUUAACCGUAUAGGGUAGGCGUAGCGAAAGCGAGUCUUAAUAGGGCGUUUAGUCGCUGGGUAUAGACCCGAAACCGGGCGAUCUAUCCAUGAGCAGGUUGAAGGUUAGGUAACACUGACUGGAGGACCGAACCCACUCCCGUUGAAAAGGUAGGGGAUGACUUGUGGAUCGGAGUGAAAGGCUAAUCAAGCUCGGAGAUAGCUGGUUCUCCUCGAAAGCUAUUUAGGUAGCGCCUCAUGUAUCACUCUGGGGGGUAGAGCACUGUUUCGGCUAGGGGGUCAUCCCGACUUACCAAACCGAUGCAAACUCCGAAUACCCAGAAGUGCCGAGCAUGGGAGACACACGGCGGGUGCUAACGUCCGUCGUGAAAAGGGAAACAACCCAGACCGCCAGCUAAGGUCCCAAAGUUGUGGUUAAGUGGUAAACGAUGUGGGAAGGCUUAGACAGCUAGGAGGUUGGCUUAGAAGCAGCCACCCUUUAAAGAAAGCGUAAUAGCUCACUAGUCGAGUCGGCCUGCGCGGAAGAUGUAACGGGGCUCAAACCACACACCGAAGCUGCGGGUGUCACGUAAGUGACGCGGUAGAGGAGCGUUCUGUAAGCCUGUGAAGGUGAGUUGAGAAGCUUGCUGGAGGUAUCAGAAGUGCGAAUGCUGACAUGAGUAACGACAAUGGGUGUGAAAAACACCCACGCCGAAAGACCAAGGGUUCCUGCGCAACGUUAAUCGACGCAGGGUUAGUCGGUUCCUAAGGCGAGGCUGAAAAGCGUAGUCGAUGGGAAACAGGUUAAUAUUCCUGUACUUCUGGUUACUGCGAUGGAGGGACGGAGAAGGCUAGGCCAGCUUGGCGUUGGUUGUCCAAGUUUAAGGUGGUAGGCUGAAAUCUUAGGUAAAUCCGGGGUUUCAAGGCCGAGAGCUGAUGACGAGUCGUCUUUUAGAUGACGAAGUGGUUGAUGCCAUGCUUCCAAGAAAAGCUUCUAAGCUUCAGGUAACCAGGAACCGUACCCCAAACCGACACAGGUGGUCGGGUAGAGAAUACCAAGGCGCUUGAGAGAACUCGGGUGAAGGAACUAGGCAAAAUGGCACCGUAACUUCGGGAGAAGGUGCGCCGGCUAGGGUGAAGGAUUUACUCCGUAAGCUCUGGCUGGUCGAAGAUACCAGGCCGCUGCGACUGUUUAUUAAAAACACAGCACUCUGCAAACACGAAAGUGGACGUAUAGGGUGUGACGCCUGCCCGGUGCCGGAAGGUUAAUUGAUGGGGUUAGCGCAAGCGAAGCUCUUGAUCGAAGCCCCGGUAAACGGCGGCCGUAACUAUAACGGUCCUAAGGUAGCGAAAUUCCUUGUCGGGUAAGUUCCGACCUGCACGAAUGGCGUAACGAUGGCGGCGCUGUCUCCACCCGAGACUCAGUGAAAUUGAAAUCGCUGUGAAGAUGCAGUGUAUCCGCGGCUAGACGGAAAGACCCCGUGAACCUUUACUGUAGCUUUGCACUGGACUUUGAGCCUGCUUGUGUAGGAUAGGUGGGAGGCUUUGAAGCGUGGACGCCAGUUCGCGUGGAGCCAUCCUUGAAAUACCACCCUGGCAUGCUUGAGGUUCUAACUCUGGUCCGUAAUCCGGAUCGAGGACAGUGUAUGGUGGGCAGUUUGACUGGGGCGGUCUCCUCCUAAAGAGUAACGGAGGAGUACGAAGGUGCGCUCAGACCGGUCGGAAAUCGGUCGCAAAGUAUAAAGGCAAAAGCGCGCUUGACUGCGAGACAGACACGUCGAGCAGGUACGAAAGUAGGUCUUAGUGAUCCGGUGGUUCUGUAUGGAAGGGCCAUCGCUCAACGGAUAAAAGGUACUCCGGGGAUAACAGGCUGAUACCGCCCAAGAGUUCAUAUCGACGGCGGUGUUUGGCACCUCGAUGUCGGCUCAUCACAUCCUGGGGCUGAAGCCGGUCCCAAGGGUAUGGCUGUUCGCCAUUUAAAGUGGUACGCGAGCUGGGUUUAGAACGUCGUGAGACAGUUCGGUCCCUAUCUGCCGUGGACGUUUGAGAUUUGAGAGGGGCUGCUCCUAGUACGAGAGGACCGGAGUGGACGAACCUCUGGUGUUCCGGUUGUCACGCCAGUGGCAUUGCCGGGUAGCUAUGUUCGGAAAAGAUAACCGCUGAAAGCAUCUAAGCGGGAAACUUGCCUCAAGAUGAGAUCUCACUGGGAACUUGAUUCCCCUGAAGGGCCGUCGAAGACUACGACGUUGAUAGGCUGGGUGUGUAAGCGUUGU
rnacentral:rRNA from 1 species